AGAGUUUGAUCCUGGCUCAGGAUGAACGCUGGCGGCGUGCCUAACACAUGCAAGUCGAACGGACUUACACAGAAGCAGGAGAUGCUUGCAUUGACUAACGGAAGUGUAAGUUAGUGGCGGACGGGUGAGUAACGCGUGGGCAACCUGCCCCAUACCGGGGGAUAACACCUGGAAACAGGUGCUAAAACCGCAUAAGCGCACAGCUUCGCAUGAAGGUGUGUGAAAAACUCCGGUGGUAUGGGAUGGGCCCGCGUCUGAUUAGCUGGUUGGCGGGGUAACGGCCCACCAAGGCAACGAUCAGUAGCCGGCCUGAGAGGGUGGACGGCCACAUUGGGACUGAGACACGGCCCAAACUCCUACGGGAGGCAGCAGUGGGGAAUAUUGGACAAUGGGGGAAACCCUGAUCCAGCGACGCCGCGUGAGUGAAGAAGUAUUUCGGUACGUAAAGCUCUAUCAGCAGGAAAGAAAAUGACGGUACCUGACUAAGAAGCCCCGGCUAACUACGUA
rnacentral:rRNA from 1 species